rnacentral:lncRNA from 1 species
GAGUAUUUCUUAAUUUAAUAUUUUAAAAAAUAAUUUUGUUAUAGUAUCAUAAAUUAUGUUUAAUUUUUAAUUCUAAAAAAUUUAUACCUUUUAUUUUAAAUUUAUCAAUCCUAAUGAUUAAUUAUAAAUUAAUAAGCAUAAAAAUUCAUAAUUGAAUGAAAGAAUUCCUAAUUAAUAAUAAAAAAAUUAAAUUGAAGCAAACAAAAUUGAAAGUAAAGAAAAAAAAUAUGAAAGAAAAUAGAAAAAAUUGAAAAACAACAAUCGACAUACUUAAGCUAAAUAAGUUGAAUUCCAUCUUUCAAAUCGAUUUAUUCUCAG